rnacentral:rRNA from 1 species
CAGAGGGGGCAAGCGUUGUUCGGAAUUACUGGGCGUAAAGGGCGCGUAGGCGGCCUGCUAAGUCGAACGUGAAAUCCCCGGGCUCAACCCGGGAACUGCGUCCGAAACUGGCAGGCUCGAAUCCGGGAGAGGGAUGCGGAAUUCCAGGUGUAGCGGUGAAAUGCGUAGAUAUCUGGAGGAACAUCGGUGGCGAAGGCGGCAUCCUGGACCGGUAUUGACGCUGAGGCGCGAAAGCCAGGGGAGCAAACGGGAUUAGAUACCCCGGUAGUCCUGGCCCUAAACGAUGAAUGCUUGGUGUGGCGGGUAUCGAUCCCUGCCGUGCCGAAGCUAACGCAUUAAGCAUUCCGCCUGGGGAGUACGGUCGCAAGGCUG